GACUCGGGAGUGUAAUGGAUCAGCACGGCAGAUUGGAUAUUUGUAAGUGCGGGUUCGAGUCCCGCUUGAGGCA
rnacentral:tRNA from 1 species